rnacentral:rRNA from 1 species
CAAUAGCGUAUAUUAAAGUUGUUGCAGUUAAAAAGCUCGUAGUUGGAUUUCCGAUCGAGACAUCAGGUCGGGUCCGAGAGGAUCAUGUACUUUGAUUUUGUUUUGAUCAUCCUUGGGGAGAGCAUUUCUGGCAUUCAGUUGUCGGGAUUGGGAUCCUCAUCGUUUACUGUGAAAAAAUUAGAGUGUUCAAAGCAGGCCUCGGCCUCUGAAUACAUUAGCAUGGAAUAAUAAGAUAGGACUUUGGUGGUCUAUUUUGUUGGUUUGCACGCCAAAGUAAUGAUUAAUAGGGAUAGUUGGGGGUAUUCGUAUUCAAUUGUCAGAGGUGAAAUUCUUGGAUUUAUGGAAGACGAACUACUGCGAAAGCAUUUACCAAGGAUGUUUUCAUUAA